rnacentral:pre_miRNA from 1 species
GGAAACUUAAAAACUAUCGUUGGAUCGAAAAUGAGAUGUCUAAGAUUCAUCCACGUCACAAUGAGUAAAUAUUUUACUUCCAACAAAAUUUUUACACGUGAGUAAAUUCACGAGUAAAAUUUUUACUCGUGAUGACGUGGACGAAUCUUAGAUGUCUAUUUUCCUAUCCAACAGUAGUUUUCGGGUUUUC